UACGGGGGGGGCAAGCGUUGUUCGGAAUUACUGGGCGUAAAGCGCGUGUAGGCGGCCCGGUAAGUCCGCUGUGAAAGUCCAGGGCUCAACCCUGGGAUGCCGGUGGAUACUGUCGGGCUCGAGUCCGGAAGAGGCGAGUGGAAUUCCUGGUGUAGCGGUGAAAUGCGCAGAUAUCAGGAGGAACACCAACGGCGAAGGCAGCUCUCUGGGACGUUACUGACGCUGAGACGCGAAAGCGUGGGGAGCAAACAGG
rnacentral:rRNA from 1 species